CUGAGAUCAAAACCAAGGAAUGAUUUAUAGUGUGUUGAAGUUUGAGCCCUGCAGACACAAACAACAGAGGGAAGAUUAACACUGAGACUCUGGACUCUCUGGAUGCGCCAACGGCACUGCAGGGACGUGACCACUAGAGGGCAGCAGACACUCACAGCAGCCGGCUGUGCGGGAACUACCUGACAGGAGCAGACACACUGCAAGGUGCACUGGAGCAGGAACUGAAGAUACGUGGAAAGGAUCACCUGAGAGCCUGAGCCGACUGGAACACACAGCGGCCCUGAGCGAUGGAGGAUGAGGACCGACGAGUCCGAUCGGCAGGCCGACCUGGAGGAGCUUUCCCUAAAAAACACCACGCUGUGAAGUCUGGUGUCAGACGACCUCACCCAGCUUCCAGAAGCUCGUCAAACCCGAGCCGGCGCGCCGCGCUUGCGGUUCCCUGGUUAGAAGUGUACGGUUUGUCUUGGCGUGGGGAAACGCGCGGCCCUCAGUUUUGAGUUUCUUUAAUUGCACUGAUACAACAAUCCUAGCAGGAAAGUCCUUUCACAUGUCUGACUGUGAAUUGCAGCCAUAAAAUCAAUUUACUCGGCUUCGCCUUCCUCCAAUAACGCAAUUACUUCUGUUUCUGCCUUGACCCCCUCCUUACGAGGCCGACCUCGUAAUGGCCGCGGCAAAAGUUCACCCUCUGACUUCUGAAGCCGCCUGUGAACAGCAGGGUGAUCCAUGACCCCUCUUUAAGUACAAUUUCCUGUAGAAAAAGAAUCUCCUAAUUUCUUCUAAAUCUGCCAUUAGCUACCAUAAGCAUGACCGGCCUGUUACCUUUUGUUUGGGCUCCCUUGAAACCACUAUCUAUUAGGUGGCUCAAAUCAAAUCCCCGCAGCCUGAGUUUAAUAAGAGAAUAUUUGUGCUCCUAUAUUUUAACCUUGUUAUCCAAUAUCCGGUGUGUUUUUUCGGAGGUGGGUGUGUGUUUAGCGCGCAGAG